CGGACUGCACUGAAAUCGAUCGUUCACCAAUGAAAAAUCUUUGCGUCUAUGGGGAACUUUAAAGGGAUAAAAGAGAACUUACCUCUGGGACAUCUGUUUCGUGCUCUGGAGAAUCCCCCCCGUCAUCACUGGUUUUCCGCUUUCUUUUGUUCCGAACACUUUGGAUGUAAUUUUUGUGAAAGUCACAUAUGUAAAGGUGCCGAACCUGAAGAUAGGGUGAGACGGCUGGAGAUAUAAAUCUGCAGUUACUUCAGUCACACAAGGUUAAUGUCACUAGCUGUCCGAAGAAAUGUAGGGGUGAUUCUCUUUCUACUUUCUGCUUCCUUUUUCUGAUUUUUGAGUGGUAUGUAUAUCUAAAUUGCAUGUUAUUGGUAAAUUUGACCAAAUUAACUUUUUGUGAAUUUUAAAACUAAAUGUUUUUUUCCU